UGAAAAUAAUUACAGUUGACAUUUCCAUC
rnacentral:piRNA from 1 species